GAUGAACGCUGGCGGCGUGCCUAAUACAUGCAAGUCGAGCGAACAGACGAGGAGCUUGCUCCUCUGACGUUAGCGGCGGACGGGUGAGUAACACGUGGAUAACCUACCUAUAAGACUGGGAUAACUUCGGGAAACCGGAGCUAAUACCGGAUAAUAUAUUGAACCGCAUGGUUCAAUAGUGAAAGACGGUUUUGCUGUCACUUAUAGAUGGAUCCGCGCCGCAUUAGCUAGUUGGUAAGGUAACGGCUUACCAAGGCAACGAUGCGUAGCCGACCUGAGAGGGUGAUCGGCCACACUGGAACUGAGACACGGUCCAGACUCCUACGGGAGGCAGCAGUAGGGAAUCUUCCGCAAUGGGCGAAAGCUUGACGGAGCAACGCCGCGUGAGUGAUGAAGGUCUUCGGAUCGUAAAACUCUGUUAUUAGGGAAGAACAAAUGUGUAAGUAACUAUGCACGUCUUGACGGUACCUAGUCUGAAAGCCACGGCUAACUACGUG
rnacentral:rRNA from 1 species